UUCCGGUUGUUCUGGCCGGACCUGACUGCUAUCGGAUUGGUACAGAGCCAUGUUAGUCGUUGUAGCAAUACAAGGCGGACGGCUCAGUAACACGUAGUCAACCUAACCUAUGGACGUGGAUAACCUCGGGAAACUGAGAAUAAACCGCGAUAGAUCAUUAUGCCUGGAAUGGCUUAUGGUUCAAACAAUUUAUUGCCGUAGGAUGGGACUGCGGCCUAUCAGCUUGUUGGUGAGGUAAUGGCCCACCAAGGCUAUAACAGGUACGGGCUCUGAGAGGAGACGCCCGGAGAUGGGUACUGAGACACGGACCCAGGCCCUAUGGGGCGCAGCAGGCGAGAAACCUUAGCAAUGUGCGAAAGCACGACUAGGUUAAUCCGAGUGAUUUCUGUUGAAGAAAUCUUAUGUCAGUCGUAAAACCACAGACGAAUAAGGGGUGGGCAAGUCUGGUGUCAGCCGCCGCGGUAAUACCAGCACCUCGAGUGGUCAGGAGGUUUAUUGGGCCUAAAGCAUCCGUAGCCGGCUACGCAAGUCUCCGGUUAAAUCCAGCUGCUCAACAGAUGGGCUGCCGGAGAUACUACAUAGCUAGGGAGCGGGAGAGGUAGACGGUAUUCUGUGGGUAGGGGUAAAAUCCACUGAUCCAUAGAGGACCACCAGUGGCGAAGGCGGUCUACCAGAACGCGUUCGACGGUGAGGGAUGAAAGCUGGGGGAGCAAACCGGAUUAGAUACCCGGGUAGUCCCAGCUGUAAACGAUGCAAACUCGGUGAUGCAUUGGCUUAUGGCCAAUGCAGUGCCGCAGGGAAGCCGUUAAGUUUGCAACCUGGGACUUACGGACGCAAGUCUGAAACUUAAAGGAAUAAAACGGGGGAGCA
rnacentral:rRNA from 1 species